UCAGGCGGUUGGACGGCCGCCGAUACGUUAUAAUUAAUAUGGGAGGAAAGUCCGGGCUCCACGGGAACACGGUGCCGGGUAACACCCGGCAGAGGUAACUCUAGGGAUAGUGCCACAGAAAGUAAACCGCCUAGGUCUCUUGAUUCUGAGCUUCUAGGUAAGGGUGAAAGGGUGCGGUUAAGAGCUCACCGCAAUUCCGGCAACGGGAUUGGCAAGGUAAACCCCACCGGGAGCAAGACCGAAUAGGGAUGGCAUGCUAGCUUGUAAAAAGAUAUGCAAACGAGUUCCUGCGUAGUCAUUCGGGUAGGUCGCGUGAGAUGGUCGGUGACGACUGUCCUAGAUGAAUGGCCGUCACCUAGGUUUUCUUAGGUACAGAACCCGGCUUAUAGACCGUCUGAAACU
rnacentral:RNase_P_RNA from 2 species